UUUUAGGCGCUAUGUUGUCUACGGGUGCUACAACUCGUAUCUGGCAACACAACCCACUCGCACUACUGUCGUCACUGAGGUCAGGUAGACGGAGCGAAGAUGGCGACCGCCUACGAGAGAUACAAUUUGCACACAACCCCAGAGAAGUUCUUCAUUGAGGCCUGCGAUGAGGGGGCUGAUGCUGUGCUGGCAAUUGACAGGGUCUCAAAUGAGAUGACCCUCACAGGUA